rnacentral:rRNA from 1 species
ACGAACCGAGCGAACGUUAUUCGGAAUCACUGGGCUUAAAGGGCGCGUAGGCGGGCGGUCAAGUCCGGGGUGAAAGCCUCCAGCUCAACUGGAGAAGUGCCUCGGAUACUGAUCGUCUCGAGGGAGAUAGGGGCGUGCGGAACUUCCGGUGGAGCGGUGAAAUGCGUAGAUAUCGGAAGGAACACCGGUGGCGAAAGCGGCGCGCUGGAUCUCUUCUGACGCUGAGGCGCGAAAGCCAGGGGAGCGAACGGGA